rnacentral:tRNA from 1 species
UCCCUGGUGGUUCAGUGGUUAGGACUCUGUGUUAACACUGCUGACAGCUUGGGUUCGAUUCCUGAUUGGGGAA